GACGAACGCUGGCGGCGUGCUUAACACAUGCAAGUCGAACGGAAGGGCCCUGCUUUUGUGGGGUGCUCGAGUGGCGAACGGGUGAGUAACACGUGAGUAACCUGCCCUUGACUUUGGGAUAACUUCAGGAAACUGGGGCUAAUACCGGAUAGGAGCUCCUGCUGCAUGGUGGGGGUUGGAAAGUUUCGGCGGUUGGGGAUGGACUCGCGGCUUAUCAGCUUGUUGGUGGGGUAGUGGCUUACCAAGGCUUUGACGGGUAGCCGGCCUGAGAGGGUGACCGGCCACAUUGGGACUGAGAUACGGCCCAGACUCCUACGGGAGGCAGCAGUGGGGAAUAUUGCACAAUGGGCGGAAGCCUGAUGCAGCAACGCCGCGUGCGGGAUGACGGCCUUCGGGUUGUAAACCGCUUUCGCCUGUGACGAAGCGUGAGUGACGGUAAUGGGUAAAGAAGCACCGGCUAACUACAUG
rnacentral:rRNA from 1 species